rnacentral:misc_RNA from 1 species
GAUGAAGAACGCAGCGAAAUGCGAUAAGUAGUGUGAAUUGCAGAAUUCAGUGAAUCAUCGAAUCUUUGAACGCACAUUGCGCCCCUUGGUACUCCAUGGGGCAUGCCUGUUCGAGCGUCAUUUACACCCUCAAGCUCUGCUUGGUGUUGGGCGUCUGUCCCGCUUCGUGCGCGGACUCGCCUCAAAUGCAUUGGCAGCGAUCUUGCCAGCUUCUCGCGCAGCACAUUGCGCUUCUAGAGGCUUUGGCGGAUCGGCGUCCAUCAAGUACACCCACAGUUUGACCUCGGAUCAGGUAGGGAUACCCGCUGAACUUAAGCAUAUCAAUAAGCGGAGGA